rnacentral:rRNA from 1 species
CGCGAGUGGAUGCCAAUCCUCAAAACCUCUCUCAGUUCGGACUGGAGUCUGCAACCCGACUCCACGAAGCUGGAUUCGCUAGUAAUCGCGCAUCAGCCACGGCGCGGUGAAUACGUUCCCGGGCCUUGUACACACCGCCCGUCAAGCCAUGGGAGCCGGGGGUACCUGAAGUGCGUAACCGCGAGGAGCGCCCUAGGGUAAAACUGGUGACUGGGGCUAAGUCGUAACAAGGUAUC